UACGGGGGGAGCAAGCGUUGUUCGGAUUUACUGGGCGUAAAGGGCGCGUAGGCGGCCACCGCAAGUCAGUUGUGAAAUCUCCGAGCUUAACUCGGAAAGGUCAACUGAUACUGCGGGGCUAGAGUGCGGAGGGGGCAACUGGAAUUCUUGGUGUAGCGGUGAAAUGCGUAGAUAUCAAGAGGAACACCUGCGGCGAAGGCGGGUUGCUGGGCCGACACUGACGCUGAGGCGCGAAAGCUAGGGGAGCGAACGGG
rnacentral:rRNA from 1 species